rnacentral:rRNA from 1 species
GAUGAACGCUGGCGGCGUGCCUAAUACAUGCAAGUCGAGCGAACAGACGAGGAGCUUGCUCCUCUGACGUUAGCGGCGGACGGGUGAGUAACACGUGGAUAACCUACCUAUAAGACUGGGAUAACUUCGGGAAACCGGAGCUAAUACCGGAUAAUAUAUUGAACCGCAUGGUUCAAUAGUGAAAGACGGUUUUGCUGUCACUUAUAGAUGGAUCCGCGCCGCAUUAGCUAGUUGGUAAGGUAACGGCCUACCAAGGCAACGAUGCGUAGCCGACCUGAGAGGGUGAUCGGCCACACUGGAACUGAGACACGGUCCAGACUCCUACGGGAGGCAGCAGUAGGAAAUCUUCCGCAAUGGGCGAAAGCCUGACGGAGCAACGCCGCGUGAGUGAUGAAGGUCUUCGGAUCGUAAAACUCUGUUAUUAGGGAAGAACAAAUGUGUAAGUAACUAUGCACGUCUUGACGGUACCUAAUCAGAAAGCCACGGCUAACUACGUG